rnacentral:rRNA from 1 species
UACGUAGGGUGCAAGCGUUGUCCGGAAUUAUUGGGCGUAAAGAGCUCGUAGGCGGUCUGUCGCGUCGGCUGUGAAAUCCCGAGGCUCAACCUCGGGUCUGCAGUCGAUACGGGCAAACUGGAGUACUGCAGGGGAGACUGGAAUUCCUGGUGUAGCGGUGAAAUGCGCAGAUAUCAGGAGGAACACCGGUGGCGAAGGCGGGUCUCUGGGCAGUAACUGACGCUGGAGGAGCGAAAGCGUGGGGAGCGAACAGG